GCUCUGGGUUCAAUUCCCAGCAUUACAAAUGCAAAUAAACAAAAACUGGCUUUGGCUAAUUUAUGCAGAAAAACAAUUUAUUGAUAGGCUUUUGGGUGCUUGCAAAGUUGACCAGAAGGCUAAGAAUCAGAAUUGAGAAACCAAUAGAAAGCAAGGGAAACAGCCAAGGCUACCCUGCAAAAAUGGGCUGGCUUAAGCCACUGCUGCCUCUGCCCAGGGACAUCACUCCAGCUUUAGGUGGAACCGCCAACGAGGAUACAGGGGCAUCUGCAAGACACCCAAAAAGCACAUGUGGUGGGCAAAGUAAUGGCCCCUAAUUCCUGAAACCCUGUAAACAUGUUCCUUUACAUGGCAAAAGGGACUUUGAUGAGAUUAAUUAAAGGAAUUGUAGCUGAGGAGAUUACCCUGGGUUAUUCAUCUGGGCCCACAAACAGGAUUCUUGACAAUAAUGUUCCUGGCUGUUAUCAGAGGGAGAUGAACUACGAAAGAAGGGUCAGAUGGGGUGGGAUUGCAGCCCAAUGGUACAGCGCUUGCCUAGCACGUGAGAGGCACUGGGUUCGAUUUUCAGCACCGCAUAUAAACAAAGUAAAGGUCCAUUGACAACUAAAAAAAUAUCAAAGAAAGAAAGAAAGGCGGGCCAGAAAAGUACAACACUGCUGGCUUUGAAGAUGGAAAAAAGAACCAGGAGCUCAGGAAUGUGGGUGGACAUCAGUUGCUGAAAAAAUCUCCUCUGAGGUCUCCAGGAAGUAAUGUACCUUCCAUAGGCCUUGAUUCUAGCCCUAUAGGGUCUGUGUUAGAUUUCUGACUUACAGGACAGCGAGACUAUAAAUGUGUGUUGUUGUAGGCCACUAUGUUUGUGGUCUUUUGUUCUGGCAGAGAAAAAAAAAAACUAAUACCCACACAUCUGCAGGUUUCCCUGCCAUGGUGCUAAAGUAAGAGGGUUUCACUCUCAGGGCAGGUCAUAUGCAUGACCCUCCUCAUGGAGUUAGAAGUAACACUUCCUCCCAGGCAUAUCUCUGGUGCCCUCUCCCUGCCCUCUGCCCUC
rnacentral:lncRNA from 1 species